rnacentral:ncRNA from 1 species
UCCGGGAUCGGACCGCGCCUUCGAGUCGGGUUGCUUGAGAGUGCAGCCCGAAGCGGGUGGUAAACUCCAUCUAAGGCUAAAUACGGCCACGAGACCGAUAGUUUACAAGUACCGUGAGGGAAAGUUGAAAAGAACUUUGAAGAGAGAGUUCAUAAGAACGUGAAACCGCUCGGUUGUAAACGGACAGAGCUCGCGAAUCCCCGCCGGGCGAAUUCACGGUCGGUCUAACCGCCGGCCGGAUCUUUCGCUCGGUUAGCGGACGUCGCGACCCGUUGGGCGCCGGCCGAAUGGCCCGGGUGACGUUCGUCGCGUCGGUCGCGUUUCGGCGUGACCGUUCGCGCCGAGCCCCGGUGCUCAUGGUCGGCUCGCCCGACGGCAAGAACCGUCGACGCGGCCCCGUCGCAGGCGGGGUCCCGUCGGUCGGCGACGUGUUUCGAGCUACUUUCCGACCCGUCUUGAAACACGGACCAAGGAGUCUAACGUGUGCGCGAGUCAACGGUGAUCUUACGAAAAACCACGUUUGGCGCAAUGAAAGUGAACCGUUUACGGUGCGGACGAUGGCCUAGCGACCGAACCCACCGGCGUUCAAAGUCGCGCUGGUCCGCAGUCCGGGGGCGUCUCCGCCAAGUCGGCUUCGGCCGGCUGGGGGCGCACCCUUAGCGCACACGUUGGUACCCGAAAGAUGGUGAACUAUGCCUGGCCAGGAUGAAGUCAGGGGAAACCCUGAUGGAGGUCCGCAGCGAUUCUGACGUGCAAAUCGAUCGUCUGAGCUGGGUAUAGGGGCGAAAGACUAAUCGAACCAUCUAGUAGCUGGUUCCAUCCGAAGUUUCCCUCACGAUAGCUGGCGCCGAUGUGUCCCGCCCGUUCGCGGGCGUACGGACGCCCGGUGGGGACUCCGCGCUGUACGGCGCGGUAACAACACGCUCGUUAACACGGAGGAUGUCUCAUACGGUAAAGCGAAUGAUUAGAGGACAUUGGGGGCCGAAACGACCUCAACCUAUUCUCAAACUAUAAAUGAAGUGAGAUCGCCCGGGCUUUUACCUGGUACACCGCGUGAACCGCGUGGCGAAGCCCGGCGACGGAACCCUAGGGCGCUUAAGUGGGCCAUUUUUGGUAAGCAGAACUGGCGCUGCGGGAUGACCGACGCCGA